UAUCUUAGUGGCGGACGGGUGAGUAACGCGUGGGUAACCUGCCUUAUACAGGGGGAUAACACUUAGAAAUAGGUGCUAAUACCGCAUAAGCGCACGGGGCUGCAUGGCCCAGUGUGAAAAACUCCGGUGGUAUAAGGUGGACCCGCGUCUGAUUAGCUUGUUGGCGGGGUAACGGCCCACCAAGGCGACGAUCAGUAGCCGGCCUGAGAGGGUGGACGGCCACAUUGGGACUGAGACACGGCCCAAACUCCUACGGAAGGCAGCAG
rnacentral:rRNA from 1 species